UGGGGAAUAUUGGACAAUGGGGGAAACCCUGAUCCAGCAAUACCGCGUGUGUGAAGAAGGCCUGCGGGUUGUAAAGCACUUUCAGUGGGGAGGAGAGGCUUAUUGUUAAUAGCGAUGAGCUGAGACGUUACCCACAGAAGAAGCACCGGCUAACUCUGUGCCAGCAGCCGCGGUAAUACAGAGGGUGCGAGCGUUAAUCGGAAUUAUUGGGCGUAAAGGGUGCGUAGGUGGUUAAAUAAGUCAGAUGUGAAAUCCCUGGGCUCGACCUAGGCAUUGCGUUUGAUACUGUUUGGCUAGAGUACAGUAGAGGAAAGUGGAAUUUCCGGUGUAGCGGUGAAAUGCGUAGAUAUCGGAAGGAACAUCAGUGGCGAAGGCGACUUUCUGGACUGUAACUGACACU
rnacentral:rRNA from 1 species